AUGUAUCUUUCAGCUGUCCUUCUUCGUUCUUAUCUUCUUUCGUUCUAGCUGAACUUUUGAAAUCACGUUAUUUUCUUCAUUGCAUUUUGAGCAUAGGUGGUCUGCAUAUUUGUGUCCUAUCAUUUUGCAAUAUCUUGUUAAUAAUUAUUCUGAAAUAAAUUCUUUUUUAAUUGCUCUUGCGGUUGGUUGUAUUUCUGGAUUGAGUAGUGUCAAAAUCCAUUGUCUAGCUU
rnacentral:lncRNA from 1 species